rnacentral:lncRNA from 1 species
AUGGCGGCAGCUGAAAUCCAGAGACAAACAUACGUAGUCAUACACUGCCUCUUACAAAAUGACACAUAUUCUGAUAUGGUGGAGUGUGAUGGUACUGGAGAUGAGAACUCAUUUGACCCUGUAAAAAUAGCCUCAAAGCUCAGGGAACUGGGUGAUGAUUAUGAUGAGAGAGUGAUCCAGCCAUUGAUGAAGAAUGUACAGAAAGCUGCAGCCGAUCAGGUGGUGACUGCCUUCAGUGAUAGUGUGGACAGCUUGUGUAACACGUGGGUUAUGGAAAGAGCAGAAGUGGCCUCAGAAAAGCAGCUUCUCAAGGCUGCCAUCACACUGGGACUCCUUAUGAAGAAAAACUGCCCUGACAUGAUAAAUGUAGUUGAGUUCGCUAUGAUGGGAUUCGUCAACAACCGUCUAACAGGCUGGAUUGCAGAACAAGGAGGCUGGGUCUCGGUCUCUAAGAACAGCAUGCACUGA